AGAUUUUAAGUUCCUUCAUUUUGGUCAAAAGAGACUAACGUCCCAAAGUAUACCAAAGCAAGACAACAUUUUAGAGAUCAUAAGCAAGAUUUCAUAGUACACAAAAAUGUUUUGAAGCAGAAACAAUUUCGUUUCAAUCCAAGCAUAGGUUUCGUUCAUGUUUCGCAGAAGCAAAAAGCUUCAUUUCAUUCAAAUAAUUCAAGGAACAUGUAUGUUAAGGCCAUCCCUUCUUUCUUUUGGCAUGGUCCGAAUUAUACUGAAGAAACGAGAAAACACACAGUUUCCAUAAAUUACUCUAUUCAUAGAAAUAGUAGGGGUGUAUAUAUUCUUGAUUCCCCAUGAAAAAUGUUAUUAUCUUCUGUUCGUGGGACUCAGAAUAAUACACAAUUGAAAAAGUUUAUCCGGAAAGAAUAUUGAGAUUAUUACGUAUUUUUCAUGCAUUUCAUUCAUUUAUACAUGUGCAUUGACCCAUGACCAGAUGGCGUUAUAUACGCGUAUAUAUAUGUAUAUGUCAUAUGGGAAAAGAUUACGGCGUUAUAUACACACCACCACCUGAUCAGCUGGUAUAUGUUGAUGAUGUUGCCCACAGUGGCUGAGAUGAUAUGAUGGGAUGCCCUCAGUGGCUUGACGAUAUUAUGUACACUCAUACCUAUGCAUGACACGACAUUUAUACGCACGUGCAUGAUAUUAUAAACGUUUCAGAAUUUACAAAGUUAUUCAAAUUUAAAGAUGUGUUUCCUUAUUCCAUGUUUCAUCUAUGUCUUUUACGUACUAACAUUCAUGCCUUACAUACUCAGUACAUUUUUUGUACUGACAUCCUAUUUCACGGGGCCUGUGUUUCAUGCCCGCAGGUGCAGGUAGGAAAGCUGA
rnacentral:lncRNA from 1 species